GACGAACGCUGGCGGCGUGCUUAACACAUGCAAGUCGAACGAUGAACCCGGAGCUUGCUCUGGGGGAUUAGUGGCGAACGGGUGAGUAACACGUGAGUAACCUGCCCUGGACUCUGGGAUAAGCGUUGGAAACGACGUCUAAUACCGGAUAGGACCUUGGAUCGCAUGAUCUGGGGUGGAAAGUUUUUUCGGUCUGGGAUGGACUCGCGGCCUAUCAGCUUGUUGGUGAGGUAAUGGCCCACCAAGGCGUCGACGGGUAGCCGGCCUGAGAGGGUGACCGGCCACACUGGGACUGAGACACGGCCCAGACUCCUACGGGAGGCAGCAGUGGGGAAUAUUGCACAAUGGGCGAAAGCCUGAUGCAGCAACGCCGCGUGCGGGAUGACGGCCUUCGGGUUGUAAACCGCUUUUAGUAGGGAAGAAGGGCUUCGGCUUGACGGUACCUGCAGAAAAAGGACCGGCUAACUACGUG
rnacentral:rRNA from 1 species